UCAAACCAGCCCAACAAAAUUAGCCCAAAAAAUGUAAUUUAUCGAACUUCCAAUUUUGCCCUUAACGUCAUGGCUUUCCUGUUUGUUUGGUCUGUUUCGCGAGAGAGGAAAGGUAUACAGAUCUCAAAUUUAUUUCUCCAUGAUGUUUGUAAUUUUCUCUAUGAUGUAUAUAGAUCUUCUGCUCCAUCAAAUCAACGAGCUCCCAUUUUACUUGAUUCUUUGGUUUUCCAACUGACCAGUGGAAACGUGAUGCAUGUGAUGAACAGAUGCAGAUUGCGCUUCGGAAAGAAGCGGAGAUGUCGUUGUACGACCUAGAUGACACGCCCUUACCGAAUCUACCUUCCGCCGAAGAAACCUAGCGGAGUUGGAUCAUGGUCGCCGUUCCUAAGGUGCAAGAAUUGCAAGGGGGGGCUUCUGGGCAAUCGGACGCUUACCUGCGUCUUCUGAUUGCAAUGACAUCCCUCCCGACCCCAUCAAUUUCCAGGAUACUUUUGGGUAGAUAGAUAUGUGACUCGAUUUUCUAUCUUUUGUUUGAUUGAUGAGAAAAUUGAGAUUAAUUAAGAUGGGAAAUAAAAGCUUUCUCUA